rnacentral:pre_miRNA from 1 species
UGGCAGUGUGGUUAGCUGGUUGUGAAUUAAUAGAUACAACAACCACUAGCUCUACUGCCUGG